CGGGAAGAGCUCAAAUUUAUAAUCUGGCACCUUCGGUGUCCGAGUUGUAAUCUCUAGAAAUGUUUUCCGCGCUGGACCGCACACAAGUCUGUUGGAAUACAGCGGCAUAGUGGUGAGACCCCCGUAUAUGGUGCGGAUGCCCAGCGCUUUGUGAUACAUUUUCGAAGAGUCGAGUUGUUUGGGAAUGCAGCUCAAAUUGGGUGGUAAAUUCCAUCUAAAGCUAAAUAUUGGCGAGAGACCGAUAGCGAACAAGUACCGUGAGGGAAAGAUGAAAAGCACUUUGGAAAGAGAGUUAACAGUACGUGAAAUUGUUGGAAGGGAAACGCUUGAAGUCAGACUUGCUUGCCGAGCAAUCGGUUUGCAGGCCAGCAUCAGUUUUCCGGGAUGGAUAAUGGUAGAGAGAAGGUAGCAGUUUCGGCUGUGUUAUAGCUCUCUACUGGAUACAUCUUGGGGGACUGAGGAACGCAGUGUGCCUUACGGCGGGGGUUUCGACCUCUUCACACUUAGGAUGCUGGUGGAAUGGCUUUAAACGACCCGUCU
rnacentral:rRNA from 1 species